rnacentral:rRNA from 1 species
UACAGAGGAUCCAAGCGUUAUCCGGAUUUAUUGGGUUUAAAGGGUGCGUAGGCGGCCUAUUAAGUCAGGGGUGAAAGACGGUAGCUUAACUAUCGCAGUGCCUUUGAUACUGAUAGGCUUGAAUAUACUUGAGGUAGGCGGAAUGUGACAAGUAGCGGUGAAAUGCAUAGAUAUGUCACAGAACACCAAUUGCGAAGGCAGCUUACUAAAGUAUGAUUGACGCUGAGGCACGAAAGCGUGGGGAUCAAACAGG